AUGCAGCUUGGAUAUCUCGUCCUCGUGGUCUUCCUAGAGCAACGGCUGGGCACCAUGGGACAGGUCACCAUCACCCAACAAGAAAGACAACUCGCAGUGAAGCAGAGAGACACCUUCCAAACAACCUGCACCUACCAGAGCUCCUACUUUUAUGGCUUGUUCUGGUACCAGCAGAGGAAAGGACAAGCUCCCCAGCUGGUCUCCUAUCAAGCAAGCGCUGGCCACAAGCGCAGUGGCCGUUUCACCACCGAGCUGAACACCACGGGGAAAUACAGCCUCCUGCAGCUGGAGGAAGUCGAGGUCUCUGACAGUGCCUUGUACCUCUGUGCUGGGCAAGACACUCCGGUGCAGGGAGCUUCCUUGGCUGUGCAAGAACCAGGGGAGUGA